rnacentral:lncRNA from 10 species
CAGACUGUAUACAGUCCAAUUCAAUUACCAAAUAUGAGCAAAACCUAUUAGAUCAAUUUCUGGCUUUUUUUGAAGAAACCGAAUCAAGUUUAUUCAAUAGCACCCCAUGGUCUCAAUGUAACAGGAAAGGAAAGAGGAUGCUAAAACCCACCUCCUUUGAUAACCUCCAAUUAGAUGACCAACUGGCCUGAUUUGCCUGGGAGUAAGGGUUAUCAGGAUGUCGGACAUUUAGUGUUAAAACCAGGGCAGUCCGGGGCCUACUGGGACAGCUUGUCCUCUUCAUCCCUCCAGGUCUUUUUAAAAUGUGUGGAAUAUCCACAUUUCUUUAUCCUGGGACUUUUCUGUUUGCAUGUAGGCUCUCCAGGAAGUCACAAAGCUGCACAACGGUGGGGCUGAGGAAAUUAGCCAAGGAAUCAGCCACGUCUCCGGGGCAUCCGCCUCUUGUAUUAGAGGUGUCUUCAGCUCUAUCUUUGGGUGUCCAGGCUGCCACCAGGCUAUUACUCCAUUUUCUGUAGGUCACCUCCUGCCACCUCUUCUCCAGGGUGAUGCUGUUUGCAACACACAGUUCCUUGUCUUGGUUUCCUAAGCAUCUUACUUCUGAAGGAUUCCUACCGUCUGUCUCCACGUGAUGACACUGAAGAGCCUUCACGUCUAUGACGGCCUAGGGUCUCAAGUGCAGAGACUGAGAGCUCUGCCAGACACAGCAUGGAGCCGCCAUUCCUCUACUGUUCAGUGAUUGGGUGGAAGAGCAUCUGUCCUCUGAACAGGGGAUCCAAGCCCUGAGAUGAUGUUUCUCAGCAGUCAGUGUGGCCCAGGACUUUCUGUGGGCAUGCUCAGAGAGCAGGGGCCAGAGGACUUUUAGCCACCACCUUCUAUGGCCAGUCUUCACAAAUUACCUUUGGCUAAUUUGAUUGUCUCUCCUCCUGGGGUCUAGGACUUCAAACACAUACAGAAGCGAUUGCAGAAUUGAAACAAGACACUUCCACAAUAUACUUUUUGUAUCAGUGGCUCAGAAAAAGACUCAUUCAAAUCCUGUAUCAAAGCCAUGUGUGAGCAUCUUGAGAAAGCAUUGACUGACUAACUUGACAAGGGAGGAAGCAAACAAGAAUUCUGCCCUUCUUCAGUGCCUGAGUGUGAUAUUUUGCCUCAACAUCCCUCUUAGAUGAAGUUACUGAUUGAAAAUCAUUUAAGUUUUUGCCCCGUGAUAAAAGAUCGCGUCCUCAGAAAGAUCUCCAAAGCAUUUACUGUUUGUUUGGUUUGGUUUUGGUAAGUUUACCAUGAUUUUGCUUGAAUUGCUCUCCGCUGAUCUUCUCAGCUAAGAUCGAGGUAGAGUUGCACAGCAGAAGAGGGCUGCAUGUAAGGAGGCAGCUCUGUCUCGGAGGACAAAAGGCCUGGGAGCAUCCAGACAGGCAGUCACUGUGUGGAGGUCACUCCCCUCCCAGUGGCCACUGUGGAGGCAUUUCAUAGAAAUGCUCGCUGGACCAUUCAGUUUUAGAGUUGGGACAAAACCGAGAACUCAUGAGGAUAUCGGAUAGGAGUUAGGAAAUGACUUUUUCACACAACCCAGGCAAGGAGGGGAGAACCCUGGGCUUGAGACUUGCAAUCCACUGCCUGCCCCUGCAGUGUGGCCCGUUACGUUUUCUGCAACUCUGCCUUCUUGAGUCCAAAUGUCUUUGAAAGGGGCAAAUGCUUCUUAAGUGCCAACAGGGUGUGUUUCAGUGAAUGUUCACAGUGUGCACUGGUCCGGCUGAAGGCCUCUUCCCUUCCCCAACACCCACCCAUCAGUGCAAAAGACUGCUGCCCAGCAGGGAGUGACAUCUGUGUCUCAGAUUUUCUUGCUGUGCUCUGAGUACUCACUCCUCAUCUCCUUUGACCAGUUUCCUAACACUCCCCUUGUUCACAACACAGAACAUGAGUGCUCUUUCCUGUCAUUUUGACGCUGAUAAACAGCAAUUCUGUGUGAAAAUGAGAAUGAAGAUUUUUUUAAAGACAGGCUACAAUAAUUCCCAUGCUGAGAACCACAUGUGAUGACACUUGUGAUGAAGAUGAGGACAGCAACGAGCUGAGAGACUCCAACCAGGAUUCACACAUGCAAGGGGAUGCAUGAGAAUGGGGAUGGGACAUUGGUGGUUAGCAUCCUUGCUUGUCUCAGAAUGGACGUGGGUUGUGGAUUUCUAACUCCUGGAGAAACCAGAGUUCUAGGAAUUGUAAGCCACUUUAUGUUAGGAAAGAAAAAGACGGUGUUCUGCUCUCCUGUCCCUUAAAACUGUGCGUACUGCCACUAAACCUGGAAGCUGAGAACGGUAUAAUGGCUACUCCUGACUUCCUUUCAUCAAAUCAGCCUGCUAUUGUUUUCUGCAAUGGUUGUGGUGCAGAAUCUUUUUGUGGUGCAGCCAAGAUUCACACUUGAGUCUCCUUACUGCAAGUUCGCACUCUCACAGUGGAGAGUUAACAAUAAUUGCCUAAUAUGUUACACUUUUUUGGGAAGAGUUACCAGAUAAAGUGCAAGAUCCCAGUGAAAUGUGAAUAGCACAGAUAAAGGACAGAUUUUUUUUUUUGUAAAAGUGUACUCUAAAUGUCAUAUGGAUCAUAAUUAUAGUAAAAACUAAUUCACUGUUUAUCUUCAAUUCAAAUUCCACUUGGUAUUCUUUAUUCAUACUUGCUAAAUCUGGCCACUAUGUUCUUUCAUGUAUUUUUAAUUUUAAAAAACAGUCCAACAUCUCAUUCUAGCAAUUUACCUACAGAAAUAAAGAGAGGAACCACAUUACUGGGACAAAUACAGUCACUGCAAAUAUCAGAAGAAUACUAGAACAUAUUAAUAUAUUAAUUUUUACCCCCAAAAAACUGAAAAUAUUUUUAGACAGCAAAAAUAGCUUCAUUAUGCUUUUGAUUGCAUAAUAUAUCUCUGGAAAGAUGAAAAAGAAUCAGAUAACACCUAUUUCCUCCAGGAAAGAAAAUGUGGUGGCCAGAGAAAAGAGGUGGGAGGAAGGCUGGUCAUUGUCUAUUCCACUGUGCACAAUUUGAAUUUGGAACCAUGCAAAAGUAUUGCUUAGUUAAGUUAAAAUCAUGUAAAAGAUACAAAAUAAACAUUUAACACCAGCACAAUAUGCUGGGAAACAAAAUGAAAGGAUUUCUGGUCUCGGUGCUGUAGGUCACAUAGCCUCUCUUUCCUGGACUGAGUCUUCCUAAGAAAGGGG